CACGGAGUUAGCCGGUGCUUAUUCAAUCGGUACCGUCGAUUCCUCUCGCAAGAGUUUUUUCUUCCCGAUCAAAAGACGUUUACAACCCAGAAGGCCUUCAUCCGUCACGCGGCAUGGCUGGGUCAGGCUCGCGCCCAUUGCCCAAUAUUCCCUACUGCUGCCUCCCGUAGGAGUCUGGCCCGUAUCUCAGUGCCAGUGUGGGGGAUCGGCCUCUCAGCCUCCCCUAGCCAUCGUCGCCUUGGUGCGCCGUUACCGCACCAACUAGCUAAUGGCACGCAGGCUCAUCUACUCCCGAAAUUCUUUAACUAUCAACCGAUCGCCGGUACAAAAGUGUUAUGCGGUAUUAAUCCACCUUUCGGCGGGCUACUCCCCCAGGAGUAGGCAGAUUGCCUACGCGUUACGCACCGUGCGCCACUAUCAGUAUUGCUACUGUACCGUUCGACUUGCAUGUAUUACGGCUGCCGCUAGCGUUUCACUUCCGUGACGCCGAGGUAUACCUAAACUCUA
rnacentral:rRNA from 1 species